GUGCUGUAGGAAAGGAGAAAAGGUUAGCACUCCCCUUGAGAAGGAUAGAAGAGCUCAUAAUGACCUUUACAAUACAUGUAUGGUUAAGACAUUGCCACUGACUUCACGGCAUCUAACCAUGUUUUAGA